CCUACGGGUGGCAGCAGUGGGGGAUAUUGCACAAUGGGGGGAACCCUGAUGCAGCGACGCCGCGUGGGUGAAGGAGUGCUUCGGCAUGUAAAGCCCUAUCGGCAGGGAAGAAGCAAGACGGUACCUGACUAAGAAGCCCCGGCUAACUACGUGCCAGCAGCCGCGGUAAUACGUAGGGGGCGAGCGUUAUCCGGAUUCACUGGGUGUAAAGGGAGCGUAGACGGCCAUGCAGGCCAGGGGUGAAAGCCCGGGGCCCAACCCCGGGACUGCCGUUGGAACUGGGCGGCUAGAGUGCGGGAGGGGCAGGCGGAAUGCCUGGUGUAGCGGUGAAAUGCGUAGAUAUCAGGAGGAACACCGGCGGCGAAGGCGGCCUGCUGGACCGCGACUGACGUUGAGGCUCGAAAGCGUGGGGAGCGAACAGGAUUAGAUACCCGGGUAGUC
rnacentral:rRNA from 1 species